GGCUGAAGAAUAACUAUGUGGCUUAGUGGUCAGAGUGUUCAAUUAGAUCUUGGAGUUCAGAUCGGGAGUUCAGGUCUCCAUUUUAGCCA